AUUGAACGCUGGCGGCAGGCCUAACACAUGCAAGUCGAGCGAGCGGCGGACGGGUGAGUAAUGUCUGGGAAACUGCCUGAUGGAGGGGGAUAACUACUGGAAACGGUAGCUAAUACCGCAUACCAUCAGAUGUGCCCAGAUGGGAUCAGCUGGUAGGUGGGGUAACGGCUCACCUAGGCGACGAUCCCUAGCUGGUCUGAGAGGAUGACAAGCAAAACUGGACCUGAGACACGGUCCAGACUCCUACGGGAGGCGACAGUGGGGAAUAUUGCACAAUGGGCGCAAGCCGGAUGCAGCAAUGCCGAGGGGGUGAAGAAGGCCUUCGGGUUGUAAAGCACUUUCAGCGGGGAGGCGUUACCCGCAGAAGAAGCACCGGCUAACUCCGUGCCAGCAGCCGCGGUAAUAC
rnacentral:rRNA from 1 species